rnacentral:misc_RNA from 1 species
UUCUAUGAUUUUUCCGGAUCGCGGGAUCUAUCAAGUCAGUCCACCGUCCAGUGAAGAUAAGUCUUUGUUUUUUACCCAUUUAAUUGAGGCUGCUUCCUCGGUUUUGCUGGAGGGCAUGGAUAAAAAAGUGCAAGUGUCUGGAACCUUUCCCGAGCUUCCCAAGGCUCCAGUAGUUGCCAGUGGACCAAAGGUUUCUGAGUUAAAAGCCAAG